ACCAGCCGAAUCAAAAAAAAGAUCCAAGGGAUUCAGUCAUGUUCUAAUCAACAACUGCGGCGAGCGGUUUGGGGCUAGGCGAGCGGCGGCCAUCGUCCGACAGUGAUACGAGUGGGCCCGGCGGGAGCUCGGCCUCCAGCGCCGUUCUCUCAAGCCCGGUGUGGUGGACGACGCCUCGCCGGCGAUGAACACCUGGCCACACCGCCACAGUCGGGCGCAGUCCGCGAGUCAGGGGUUGGAGGCGUCCUCGUCUAGUCGACGAGCUGGUUAUGGUCGGGAGGGCAGCGCGUCGUGGCUGCUGCGUGAAGAGGCCUGUCGUGGAUAAUCGGUGCAUGGUAGGAAGAACAAUGGCAAAACGAGGACGGACUGAAGGCAGCAGAUUCCGUGUUGGUCGGAGGGGAAGACGUUGUCUUUAUCUAAGUGCCUCCUGCAACCAUCUCCUUGUAGCCUCAGAUAAUGACUUCAGGUAGGGCAGACCGAGUGACAUAACUGUAACUGUGAUAAUCAUUUUAGUAAUCUUAUUUGAUGACAUUUCUGGAGGGAUAUGUUCCUCAGCUGUUCAUAUUAAUGUUUCUUACUGUCGUCGGCUAAAAUUUCACAUUCAAACUGAACUUGUUAUCACAGAAGUUAGGACGAGAUUUUUUUUGUUCAAUGGUAGCUUCUAUUUUUUUUCAUUUAUUUGUUGUGUCUGGUACCCACCAUAUUGUUUCUGGGAAGAAGUAUCCUCCAUAUCCCAGUCACACAUUGACUUUCUUGGUGGUCGUCUUGUCGUUGUCGUUCUCCCUUGUAGAUGGAGAUGGCCGUAUAAAUGGCAUGCCCAAUGUUUCACCAACCUCAAGCAGGGAGCCACCAUUACCUUGUGUUCGGAUUGGUUACCAUAAUCAAAUCCUUUUUUGCCUCACCCG